UGAAGGGUCUUGUGGAAGUCCGGUUGGCGUUGUUGAAGUCCGUAUGGGGACCGCUUAUUGAAGAAGCUCGGCUGAAGGCCACCUGUAAUAGGAGUUCGGAAGGAAUUCGUUUACAGUAGAAGCUCGGAUGGAAUUCGCUUACAGUAGAGAUCUGGAGUAGACCACUCGUAGUAGAAGUUCGGAGUAGACUGCUUGUAGUAGAGGUUCAGAGUAGAGAUUCUGCUGGUGGAGGCUGUUCGUCGUGGAAGUUCGGAGUAGACCGCUCGUAGUAGAAGUUUGGAGUAAACCACUCGUAGUAGAAGUUCGGAAUAGACCGCUCAUGGCUGGAAGAAGUCUGGAAGGAAUUCGGAGAAUAAUCGAUCACUGUAAAAAAUUGGCUGAUAGCGGAGUUCAGAGGGCGUUUGGAGCAAUCCGGUAGAUGAAUGGAGAAGCUCAUGAUUGGAGAAGCCUGGAUGGUAUUAUGGAAGCUCGAACGGUUGAGGGGGUUCAGAAAGAUGCCACAC
rnacentral:lncRNA from 1 species